GGAGGCUGCAGGGGUAGGAGUGGAACCACUUGCUAAGAGUAUGUAACCUUGAGAUAAGGAUUCCUGGGAAUGGGGGUCCUAACAGGCGAGGACACCCCAGCGAUCGCCCUUUGAAAUGGCAUUCAGGGACCAGAAGUGGGAACUGGGAAUAACGAGGUCGAGCAGUCUUGGAGACAUGCUGUGAGACAAGAAAUAUAUGAAAGUAUGGAUACUCCAAAAACGUCCCUUGACAUUAAAGAGUACCCUGAUACUGAGGUACAAAGAAACCAAGCACUAACUCUGGAAGAAUGGCAAGACAAGUGGGUGAACCGCAAAAUUGCAUUUCAUCAGGAACAAGGACAUCAGUUAUUAAAGAAGCAUUUGGAUACUUUUCUUAAAGGCAAGAGCGGACUGAGGGUGUUUUUUCCUCUUUGUGGAAAAGCAGUUGAAAUGAAAUGGUUUGCAGACCUGGGACACAGUGUAGUUGGUGUGGAAAUCAGUGAACUUGGGAUACGAGAAUUUUUUACAGAGCAGAAUCUCGCUUACUCAGAAGAACAAAUCACAGAAAUUCCUGGAGCCAAAAUGUUUAAGAGUUCUUCAGGGAACAUUUCAUUGUAUUGUUGAUCUUCCAUUUUUGAUCUUCCCAGAACAAAUAUUGGCAAAUUUGACAGGAUUUGGGAUAGAGGAGCAUUAGUGGCCAUUAAUCCAGGUGAUCGUGAAUGCUAUGCAGACAUAAUGCUGUCCUUGCUGAGAAAAGGGUUUCAGUACCUACUGGCUGUUGUUUAUUACGAUCCAACUAAACAUGCAGGCCCACCAUUUUAUGUUCCAGAAGCUGAAAUUAAAAGGUUGUUUGGUACAAUUUGCAGUACCCAUUGUCUUGAGACAGUUGAUGUUUUUGAAGAACGACAUACAAGUUGGGGAAUUGACUGUAUUUUUGAAAAGUUAUAUCUGCUUACAGAAAAGUAGAAGAAAUAUAAAUAAAAUCAAGCAACAUCAA